rnacentral:sRNA from 1 species
UGCGAACCAGCAUUACGAGGUGGUCCG